rnacentral:rRNA from 1 species
UACGUAGGGGGGCAAGCGUUUGUCCGGAAUCAUUGGGCGUAAAGAGCGUGUAGGCGGCCAGAUAAGUCCGCUGUGAAAUCUCGAGGCUCAACUUCGAGCUGUCGGUGGAAACUGUCUGGCUAGAGUCCGGAAGAGGAGAAUGGAAUUCCUGGUGUAGCGGUGAAAAUGCGCAGAUAUCAGGAAGAACACCGGUGGCGAAGGCGCCACUCUGGGCCGAAACUGACGCUGAGGAGCGAAAAGCGUGGGUAGCAAACAGG